rnacentral:ncRNA from 1 species
UAGAUAGAGGCGCGGUAUUCAUCAGUACGCUCCGGCAAGGCCAGGCAGCCGCCGGUUCGGAAAGGGACCACCGCCGAAGGAUGGGAAGAUUGCCUGAUCUUCCUAUGCUGGGUCGGCAGAGAAGAUCUGCCGGACUGUCACAUGUUUUUGUGAAGCGCUAUCG